UAAACAAAAACUAAUUUCAUAUCGAAAAAUAGUUAUUUACGGUGUAGAAAUAAAAAUAUACCGAUCAAAAUCCGACCAAAAUAUUGCGAAAUCCUGACUCGUGAAAUAAGACGUUUUUUAGAAGACAGGGAAUGGUCUGAUUAAUAAUUAACGCCUGCGGCUAUGUCUCUGACAAGAUCAGACGGCUGUGCUCAGGCAAGAGUGGAGAGGAAGGGGAAGUGAAGGGCAUAUCCGAGAGGAAGUGUGUCCUUAGCAACGGAAAAGGUGGCCAUGGCAAAUCUGCCCAAAAUGUGUCGCCUGGCAAGGAGAAGAAUGGUUUCAUAGAUGAUGGACCACCACCACCUUAUCAUUCAUCUUAAGACACCUCAAACCAAAACCCCAGAUGUAUCUAUUAUCAAAAGAACAAAUGUUUACUGAUAAAAUCAUUUAUGUGCCAAUUUCAUGAACCAAGCAUCAUUUGCUUUGUAUUUUAGAAAUAAAAUCACUGCUCAUAGCCAAUUUUAAACUUAUCCUAGUGGUGUCUCUUUUUUGCCUUAAAGCGAAAUUAUAUGAUUUUUAUAUGUGUAAAAUUGUAAUAUAUUGAUAAAAAUAUGUUACAAUAACACAAAAUAGGUAAGAAAAAUUAUACACUGAAGAUAAAUUUCAUAAAUGCAUCAAAGACAAAUUAGUGCACUGAGCUGUUAAGACGAAGAUAUUUUGUACAUAUAUUCCUACAAUAACUGAAGCAUUCGUCUUUUUAUUAGGAUCAGAGUUAGUGUUUGUGUGUUGAUGAAUAGAUAUCGUUGCAGGACUUUAAAAUUGUCUGUUAAACUAAAUUUAGAAUCACAUCGUACAUUCAUGAUAUACAUGCUGGCGAAUUCUACUGUACAGACAUUUUCGAUUUCAGAAUUAAAUAUCUGGCUUAUUUCGCAUUUUCCGACACAUGUUCGUCUUCACUUUUAUUUAAAUUUAUAUUGAAAUAUAUGUAUAAUAAGUUUUUUACAAAUUUUAUAUAAAUUCAUAAAUAUUUGACAAAAUCGUAUAAUCUCGCUUUAAUUAAAUUUUCAAUUGUUAAUGGAAAAUGAAUGAUAUAGAAGAUUAUAAAAUAAUGCUUUUUAAAUCCAGUUAGUUAUGAUUUCCUGUAUUUGUGUUAGUAUUGGCAAAAAGCAGUAUGAUUAUCUACUGCUUGAAGCAAAUAUUUGUGUAAAUGUAGAAGGUUUUUAAAACAUCGGUAUUAUUAUCGUCUUCUUAAAGCAUACUAAAUGAUAUUUUUAAAACUCUUUAAACCAGCGAUGAUAAAUUUCAACUUAGGGCACCCGUCUUUUAGUUGAAUGAUACCUUUAAAAUAAUAAUAUUCAAAACAAUAUUUGACAUAAAUAGCUUGCAGAAAACUCUGACAAAAUACAUGAAAUGUUUUACCUUUUGUAAGCAAAAUAACAACCACAAGUUCAAUUUUUUCUGAUAUUUUCAGUGUUAAAUAUAAUGUAAUAAAAUGAUGUCCUAAGUUUAAAUUCAUUUCACAUGUGUACAUUUUAAGCUUUUUUAGUGCAUCUUAUUAAUUAUUAAAUUGAUAUACUAUUAAUUCAAGGGAUGAUGGUUGUUAUAUAUCAUGGAAAAAGAUUAUAUUUGAUGUUAAUAAACUGAUAUAUAAAUAUUAGUGUACACUUUGAAAUCUUGUCACCAAUAGUGGGGCCCACACAUUUACUUAGUUGUUAAUCUUACAUGUCACUUUUUAUUUUGAUUUUUAAAUAUUUUGUAAAAUAUUCAUAUGUCUUUGUUAUUGUGAUAUGCCUUCUGAAAUGGCUGCGUUUGUGAUGGUCCAAAUUUGCAGGCAUUUCAGAUGACCUUCAUCCCAGUGGCGUAUGACGGACAUUUUCAAAAAGGCUGCCAAGCUAUCGGAUUUGUCUUGAUGGAGUCCAUGUGGGAUGAAAUUUGCAUACACUUUGUACAUUUUAUUAUUAUUUGAUAUUGUGAUACAAGGUUGAUUUUAACAGUUUCUAUAUAUUUUUUUUGUUUUAUUAUAAACAGUAUUGUAUUGUCAAUUCAUGACAUUUAGCUUACUCUGUAAUGUUUAUUAUGUCAAUUCUAUUUGUAUGAAAUAAACUUUAAAAAGCA